UAGAUUUUACUCACAUCUUUACCACAUUCAUGCUAUAAUCAUUAUAAACUCAUCACAUAAUACCAUAGCGCAUGCAUGCAUAAUUAAAAUGGAUUUACAACCCCAUAAUCAAAAUAGGCCAAGACAUAUGGCUAAAGCCAUAUCACAUACUCUAAUAUUUAAACUCCUAUACAUGCCAUAGGCUCAAAGUACUUGAAAUCACUACACCAAUAACAUUAGCUUGACAGUGUGAUAAUAUCUCCGACGAACUCCAACCCGAGCUAACCUGACAACCCUAGGAAACAUGGGAAAGAAGGGGGGGUAAGCUUUCGCUUAGUAAGUUCAUAUGAAAACAAGAAGCAACUCAUUAACUUGUUUUAUCAAUGUUUACAACAUAUUCUCAAGUUCACUACAAGCUGUCUUUCUGAGUAAUAGUAACUAAAUUAUUUAUAUCUGGAGCUAUAAAACUCCGAAUUAAGUUCCGUUCAUUUUCCAUGAAACUAGACUUAUUUUCCUUUCUUCUAUAAAAUUUUCAGAAUUUUUGGUUAAGCCAAAUAGUACAGUUUAUUCCUCAAAUUUACCCCUGAUUCACUGUCUGAUAGUUUCGACCCUUCUGUACUAAAGUUCAAUUAUCUCAUAGUACAAGACUCAAAUAAUGUUCUCGUCUAUUUCUCUUGAAACUAGACUCAUAUUUAUACUUAAUAUUUUUUUCUAGAAUUUUUGGUUGGGCCAAUUAGUACAGUUUAUUAGUUAAAGUCUCCCCUAUUUCAGGGUAUGACCACUUUGACCCCUGUGCACUACAAACAAAAUUUCUCCCUGUACAGAAUUUCAACGACUAUACCGUUUAUUUCCCCUAAAAUAGACUCAAUAAGGAAUCCAUGCAUGUAAUGUAUGACUCUUAAUAAUUUUUGUACAAUUUUUGGUGAAUUUCUAAAGUCAGAAUAGGGGAUCUCGAAUUCAUUCAGACCCUGUUUCACAAGAAUUCAAAUAUCACACAAUAUGGAAUUCUUUUUCUUCCCCUGUUUCUUUCAUGUGAAAAUACACUUAUUAAGCUUUAAUCCCAUAUUUUAUUCUGCCUCUAACUCAUUUUUAAAUAUUUUUAGUGUAUUUUCAAAGUUACACUACUGCAGUAACUCAAAUCUGUCAAGGCUAAAUUACUCAUUCAUGAUCAUUGUUCACAAAAUUAAUACAACAUCAUUUGUAUAAUCAUCACCGAGACAUUCAUAUCACAUUUUCAUUUACCAUCUUACCAUUUUGUUGUUAUGUCGAGUUUUCAACCCGAGGGUUAAGUACAUACCUGUUCAAAGUAUCCAUUUCACAACAUUUAUCAAUACGUCCCUUUCAUCUCGAGUAUUCCUCCAUUUGAGUAGAAUUUUACCCAUUGAACACAUCAGAAUAUAAUUCGGAUACAUAGAAAGUUUGCACAUAAGUGCCACGUAUGUAGCCAAGCUACCAUGUAACCCGCCUAUAAGUGAACUCGGACAGCAUCCAUAAGUGAACUCGGACUCAACUCAACGAGCUCGGAUGCCUAGUUACAUCUCACGAACUCGGACUCAACUCAACGAGUUCGAACAUUCGCAUCCAUAAGUGAACUCGGACUCAACUCAACGAGCUCGGAUGCCCAAAUAUUUCAGUGACAUGUCACUUGUAUCCUAAUCUAUUCCUAAGGUUCAACGGGACCUUUUUCCCAAUCAUGUGUCUCAACCAUCUUCUACGGAAUGCCGAUACCAAUACUCGGUAGUAUUUCACAUUUUCCAAGUAUAUCAUAUAAUUUGACAUAUUAUUAAACAAUUAUCACAAGUAUAAUAUCUCAUAAUAAUUAUCAUAUCAUUUAAAUAACAUCAAAACAUUUAAAAUAAUAACUAUGUUACCAACAUUUACAUAUGAACUUACCUCGAUACCACAAAGGUAAAAAAAGACGUAAUUAUCCCUUAAUCGAUUUCUUUUCGUUCUAGGUCCAAAUCUCAAUUUUUAUCAUCUAAAAUAUCACAUUCAACUUAUUAAAACAAUGUACUAAUCAAAUUAGUCCAUUGACACACUUGAGCAAUUUUUACAAUUUUGCCCCUAUAUUUUGCCAAAAUUACCAAAUUACCCCUAGGCUCGUAAAAUAAUUUUUAUCACAUUUCUUUACUCCUUGAGUCUAGAUGAACCAUUUUCAUAACUAUAGCAACUCAUAAUUUCAACUAUUUCACACAUUUACAACUCAUUUUACAACUUAGCAAUCUAGCUUUUUUUAAGGUAUUUUCAUGCAAUUUCUUUCACAAAAGUUGUUUAUUAGACAACUAGGACUCAUAAUCUUCCAUAAAAACACAGCAAACAACACAUUUACUCUCAUGGCAAAACCCUGGACUCUUCAUCAUUUUGCAAAAUAGACCCCUCAUAUGAAAGCUCAUGCUUUAGGGGUUCCAAAAAUGUAAAAAUCAUCAAGAAAGACAUUAAAAAUCACUUACUAGCAAGGGAUGUAAGUGGCUGAUAUUUCAGAGCUUCAAAACCCCUUUCUUUUCUGCCAUUUUCGGUGGAGGAGAAGAGAAAAAUGAUAGCUUUUUCUUUUUAAUUUGUUAAUAAUAAAAUUAGUCAAAAUUGGUGACCAACUUCACCUAAUUUUGACUUUUCAACAAUUUUUUUUGUCUCCCAUGGC
rnacentral:lncRNA from 1 species